ACUAUGUAGUGCUAAACACAUAGUGAGCACUAUGUAUUGCUAAACAUGCAGUGAGCACUAUGUAGUGCUAAACACAUAGUGAGCACUAUGUAGUGCUAAACACGCAGUGAGCACUAUGUAGUGCUAAACACGCAGUGAGCACUAUGUAGUGCUAAACACGCAGUGAGCACUAUGUACAGCCACUUGUUGUGGUUUGAAUGCCUUUGUGUAACUCAUUUCCUGUUAUUCAGUUUGGAAGGGUAAACCGCUAUGACAAAAACGGUAAAAACCUGCACUGUAGAGCACUUUAACUCUAUUGGGCCUGUUUGGCAAUUUACACUUUUAAUCAGGGAAACAAGCGGAGGUCGCUACUCUUAGCCAAACGCCAACUUCCUUUAGCUUAACAAAGCGCACAAUUUCCUGUCAGUUAAUUUAUUGACAUGGUUUUGUUAAAUCUGUGUGUUUGACCACUGAACUUAAAUACUGUAAAUACUGUGUGUUCGUAUAAUUGUGUAGAUGUGUAUUGUAGUACUGGUGUCACUAUGAACUAUGUGUGAGAGGAGAAAGAGAAAGAGACAGAGAGAGAGAGCGAGAGAGAGAGAGAGCUGAUUGGAUGAAGCACAGAUCAUUGCUGAAUAUAAAAGUCGAGGACUACAGUAGUCA